rnacentral:rRNA from 1 species
UACGAAGGGUGCAAGCGUUACUCGGAAUUACUGGGAGUAAAGCGUGCGUAGGUGGUUCGUUAAGUCUGAUGUGAAAGCCCUGGGCUCAACCUGGGAAUGGCAUUGGAAACUGGCGACCUAGAGUGCGGUAGAGGGUAGUGGAAUUCCCGGUGUAGCAGUGAAAUGCGUAGAGAUCGGGAGGAACAUCUGUGGCGAAGGCGACUGCCUGGACCAGCACUGACACUGAGGCACGAAAGCGUGGGGAGCAAACAGG